GGGAUAGCCUGUCUGGUGUCGUCCUCUGGCAAGUCCCACUUCCCGGGUUUGCGUCUGUUACGGUCUGCUGGUGGGUUGCUUCCUCCUCUGCCUGUAUUUCUUGGACAGUUGCUCUAAAGCUCGAUUGGAUUCAGGCUCAGUUCCUUCAGUAUAUUUGUGUUCGUGGGUGCCUACACUAGUGUGGGGCUACUCACUUCUGUGUCACAUGGAGAGGCCCAG
rnacentral:lncRNA from 1 species